rnacentral:rRNA from 1 species
CACUCCCUGCGCGGUCCUCUAUCGAGUCUUGUAUUUGGGAAUGGAUACCAAUCAAAACCCCUAACCAAGGAACAAUGGAAGGGAAAGCUGGGGGCCACAACCCCGGGAAUUUCCGCUUCCAUAACGGAUUUUAAAGGUGGUGGCGGUAAAAAAGUCCGAAUUGGAUUUUGGGAUGCCGCUACUGGUCUCGCCUAACGGGAGGACCUGACAAGUGGGGUCUUUCCUUUGGGCUAUUCCGGCUGCUCUUAACUGGGGGGGCGGAAGAACCAGGACUUUUACUUUGAAAAAAUUAAAGUGUUCAAAGCAGGCUUACGCUUGAAUACAUUAGCAUGGAAUAAUAGAAUAGGACUUUGGUUCUAUUUUGUUGGUUUCUAGGACCGAGGUAAUGAUUAAUAGGGAUAGUUGGGGGCAUUAUUAUUUCAGGGCUAAAGGUGAAA